CAAGGGUGGCUUUUGUUUUUAUUAAACAAUUAAAACACAUUUCUUGUAAUAUUUUUAAAAGCUUUGUAAACGACCUUAUAUUUUAGGCGUCUUCAUAACUAAAAAUUGUCAAUGUGCUAUAAAUAAAUAAAAAAUUAUAAAAAAUAUCCAAUAGAUACUUUCACAUUUAACUAACUUUUAGCUCUUGUGAAAUUUUAAUCCGUUAAUCCUUAAUUCGUUUAAUUUUCCCAAAAUUAAAUGAGAGGUUAUUUUAUCUCUAUGUAGCGAAAAAAAAGCAUUUACAAAGGCCUGGAAAAGUAAGCUCGGUCUGCCGUUCAUGUGUCCGUCAUCGGUUUGAUUCGCAUCGAAUCGCAUUGAAUCGCAUGUGGCAAGGUGUAAUUUACCCUUCAAUCAAUGCGCAGCAAAUCAGUUGGCAAUGUGCUGUGCGCAGGCGCACCUCGAUGGAUCCCCUCGGCUCGUGCCGCGCCCCUUCUCUUUUCGUAUCAGUUGGCAGCACAUUUGGGUUAACAAUUGGUUAACUGUAUACCGGCCAUAUCGGGGCUUGUGGCUAUAUUUAUAUAUACAAGUUUGUGUGUGCCGAAUGACUAACUGGGCGCAAGGUGCUUUUUAUACUCUGUUUAAAAAGCAUUAAAAACUAGUGUGGAAGUGGGCAAUGCAAGAGGAAAGCCAACAACCAAUGAUACUAUUUGGUAUUUAUGUAUGUGUACAACAUAAGUGAGUAAUCGAAUUUUUAUGAAGUAGUUUCUGCCAUAUUAAAUCGAUAAACAUUUAAAUAAAUUUUAUGGUAGUUUAUUCCAAAGCUGUGCAACAUGAAAUAUGUUACCAAAUAAGCUAUACUAAAUUAAAUGCUUAUAUUUUAAAACAUUAAGAUUAAACCUUAUAAUAAGUCAACUCACUUCCUACAACAGUAUAGUUUAUAAAACUCCUACUGACUCCAAACAAACUUAAUUUUUUUUAAUUAAUAACUUAAUUUCAGGCUGUUGCCACAUCAAAACGAAUGAUUAAUUGAUUUACUUUUUUGGGAUUAAUUGAAAAUAAAUUAAUUUUUUAAUUGUUAAAAACAUUUACUUAUAUUUCCUCAUUCCCUCACUUUUAGACCACAUUUUUUACGUUAACUGUUUGGCUUGUUUUAACGCAAAGAGUUAACCAAAACACAGAAAAGGAGAAAAAAGCAGACAAUGAGAUGUUGAUCAUGUUGUAGUUGGCAGGUUAACAAGCAACCCGAGCAGCCUUAGAUAAAUCGAGAGACAAGUCAACAAACCCGGCCGUCGAGUCAACAACUUGGUUGCGCUUCAAGGCAGCCAAGGAAAACGUUUCCUUUUGGCCAAUAGCGAUGACGGCCAAACAAUGCGUUCAGUUUGGACAAACAUUUGCAGCAAACCAUUUUUAUUCCCAUUCCAACUUCCCACGUAGCGCGGCAGGUAGCCGCAAAAACUUGUAGAACGUGCUGGUAAAAAUGGUAAAAAUGGUAAAAAUAGCAAUGCCAGUUGCAUCAACAAAUUUUCAAGUUUAAAUCUAAAUGUGGCAGUAAAUCGUGCCCGGCCGGCAACGGAGAUGAAGACACUGCCAAGUCCAAGCUUCAAGAAAGCCCGGCUCUUAGAAAUUAGAAGCGUGCUGAGGGCAGACUGUCUGGGUUUGGUAAUCAUCGCUGUAAUCAGUUUUCUGAAUGGGGUCACUUUGGUCGAAUAAUGAACCGAAUUUCCACAAAAUGUUUGUCACACUUUUUGACAUUUGCACGACUUGCUUGUCUGAAGAAAAGAGUUCCCAAAAUAAACGAAACGGGAAUGAGAAUUAAGACAGCGACUGCCAUUCACUGGGCACGCAAGCUCAGCGAGCAAGCGCCAAAUAAAAUGCAGUUCGUCUUGCUCUGCUGUGCAAUGCGGCGUAUGCGCAAUGUCUGUUGACAAGGGAGCUUGAUUUUAAUUUACGUUGCUUUGGUGAAAUCGGGUCGUUAAUUUAAAACUGUCAAAGUCCUAAAAUAAUGUAGUUAUUAAUCCGAAAAUACUUGCCAUUGCAGUUUUUCAGCUUAGUCAGUUUAUAAAAAUAAGUUAAAAUUGUAUAUCUAUAAAAAUCAUCAAAUCAUGAGAUAAUAAUUUUGUAAUUUAAAUAUAUGUACGUAUUUUAAAGUUUUAAAUAAAUAUAUAUAAAUUUUAAUAUA